rnacentral:rRNA from 1 species
CAGCCGCCGCGGUAAUACGUAGGGUGCAAGCGUUAAUCGGAAUUACUGGGCGUAAAGCGUGCGCAGGCGGUUAUAUAAGACAGAUGUGAAAUCCCCGGGCUCAACCUGGGAACUGCAUUUGUGACUGUAUAGCUAGAGUACGGCAGAGGGGGAUGGAAUUCCACGUGUAGCAGUGAAAUGCGUAGAUAUGCGGAGGAACACCGAUGGCGAAGGCAAUCCCCUGGGCCUGUACUGACGCUCAUGCACGAAAGCGUGGGGAGCAAACAGGAUUAGAUACCCGUGUAGUCCCUGUCUCUUAUAC